rnacentral:misc_RNA from 1 species
UUCGAGAUUUGCAUAAAAAGGCUUGUUUUUUUUUCCCAAUUUUAAAGUUGAUAAUUUUUAAUUAAUUUCACCUAACUGCAAAUCAGCUAAAGCCAUUGCAAUUAACUUGUCUCAGUCAGCGACUUGUGCUUGUAGAGAAGAGGCGGAGGCGAUUUCAUUUUAUUUUGUAUCAAUGGCUUUGCAGACUUGCUUCGCCCUCUCAAGCCAAGCUCCCUAUUAUCAAAGCAACAGUCCAAAAUCUUGUUUUCCCAAAACCGUAUUUUCAAUUUCUUUGUCCAAAGCUUCUUUCUUAACAGGAAACAACGACCCACUGCCAUUAUCAUUUUGCUCAAGCAAGAGAAAGCUAAACCUCGCAAUUCUUGCUCUAAUCAUUAAUGGAUCUUUACCAAACAUAUCUAAGACCACUUUGGCCCUGGAGUUGGAGCAGCUUCAGAGGUACACUGAUCCCAAGGAAGGCUUCACUCUCCUCAUACCCUCUUCUUAUGUUAAGGUGGAUAAAGCAGGAGCAACUGUGUUGUUUGAGGAGAUAAACAAGGCAAGUAACAAUGUUGGGGUUGUGGUGAACCCAGUUCGUCUCACCAGCCUAGGUGAAUUUGGGACUCCUCAGUUUGUGGCUGACAAGCUUAUCCUAGCUGAAAAGCGUAAGGAGCACAAAUUAGCUGUAAUGCGGUGUAGCUACAUGGGUAAUUGUUGAACUCAUUGUAAUGGAAAGUACAAAAGAAGCAGAAGUAAUUGGAGUGGCUGAGAGAUCAGGCCACGGUGGCCUACAAGUAUAUGAAUUCGAGUAUAAAGUUGAUAGCACAAGGGGAGGGAUGAAGAGGAUCUUCUCAGCUGCAUUUGUGGUCUCUAAGAAGCUUUACCUCCUAAACAUUUCACACUCAGACAAGCCAGAGAGUCCUCUUGCCACUCAAACAAGAAUGAUGUUGGAAGAAGUGCUUCAUUCAUUUGACAUAGCAUAAUGCAUUCAUAGCAGAUGCUUUCAAAGCAGUUGGCCUGAUAAUGUACAUUUCUGCUUGAGAAGUCAAAGGUAACCUAUGUGCUUAUCCCAUUUUAAAUUUAUAUCAAGGUGAAAUAACAUCUAGCUUGCUGGUUGAAGGGCAUUGCAAUACCGCAUGAAUAUGAAUAGAUUUUUUCUUUUUUUUUUGGUUCAUGUUUCAGGUCAGAGUUUUAUAGGCUGUGGUUGUUUUCUUUCCAAUGUAAGGAAAAAGGAAAGAUUUUGUUUGUGUUUGCAUAUUCCAGCAUCUGUCAGUUGACUACAAGUCUGCAUUGUAUGUUGCAUUUGCUCGGCUGUUUGUGCAUCUGAAGUGUAAUAUUCAUGUAGGAUGUCCAAGAAUGUCAUCAUGAGCAUAAAUCAUUUGAAAUAAAUAAGAUAACAAGUAAAUUGUGAUCUUUCACAAUAAUCCUGUUCUAAAAAAAAAAUAAAUUUUGGGCAUCUCAUCUUACAAUAUCAUCUUAGUUUAAAAUUUAUAUAUCUUACCAUGUCAUUUUUUUUUCUUUUUAAUUCUGGCUGAUGCAUGGAGGUUACGCACUAAGAUUAUAAUGACUUGCAGAGAUAGUGUCUGGGUGGCAAGGAAUUGAUAAUCCCUUAGCUUGUCAAGGUAAGGUAAGGUUUAACAAUUGUCAAAAAGAUUCUCAUGACAAUAUAAAUGUAAGCAAUAGUCCUAGAGAAGUGCAAAAUUCAUUCAGAACAACAUUGCUAUUUAAUUGAAAAUUUAAGUUUAUCGCUUAAUGUUCUUUUCUCCCAUUUCUUUCUUUUUACAUUUGGUUUGUUUUUUCUCCAUAUACAUUAAAUAAAUCAGCAAGAUUCUGGUUGACACCUUCAAAAGUUGGAACCAUCCAGCUACACGUAAUGUUUAAGCAAUUUAUCUGCUUGUAUUCUGAAGAUUUUAUAGGCAGCUGGCAUGUAGUAACAGCACAUCCUUUAAGGGGGGAAAAAUAUGGUUGCAUCUAUCCAAGCUUGGAAAAUUCAAUUUAAUUAUGCUUUCAACAUAUGAACUUGACUAUUUUUAGGGUGUCAAUGAGUUUGCAUCCUAGUUCUCAUUACCUGUUUGGAAACUCAGAAUCUCUGCUUGAUGUCUUUUGAUAUUUAAACUACGGAUACAUUCAAGUGAGUUGAUCUUUGGAAACCAAUCAACGGAAGAAGUGCUGUGCGUCUGCAUAUGCAGAAGGAGAACCAAAUUUCAAAAAGAUUUAAUUUUAAGGUGAUCACUACUUCUAUAGUACUCAAAUGUUAAAUUCAUUGCCUAGCGGACUUGUUUCCAGUGAUUAAAGGAAUAUUACUUAACGUGACCACUACUUCUAUGGAAUUUUUAUGGAAUACUACUUUUUUUUAUCGAAGAAAAGAUUUCAUUAAGGUGGCCAAAAGAAAUGUUACAACAAUAACCUGUUGCCAUGAUUAUAUGAGAAAGAGUCAUCCCUGAAAGUGAGAGCAACUAAACAAUGGGCAACUUGAUUAUAUGACUUGUUCACAUAAUAAAAUGAGAUUUCAAUACAGCCGGUUGAGAGCAUUUUAACAUCAUUGAGAAUGUCAUGUGUCUUCGAAAAAAGUUAAAAUACUUUUUCACCGAAUAACUACUUGAUAAUCUCUUUUUAUUAUAACUUCCUUAAAACUCUUUGGUUUUUACAAGUUAAUGACUCAGGAGUAAGGAGUUCUAUGAUAAUAUGGUAUCUUCUACAAAUCCCUCCAUAAUACUGAUUCAGACGGUCUCUAGUUAAAACUGUCACAACUCAAUAAUUUAUGGGAUAUUAUGAAUCAAUAAUAAAAUCAAGUUAAAGAAAAAAAAAACUUAAUUUCUCAAUAAUAAAAACUAGAGUUGAAGUUAAAAAAAAGUAAUAAAAAUAAAAUUUUCCAUUUUUUCCAUUUGUUAAUUGAAUGAAGACUAGUAGCAACUUUUAAAGUCAACAGCUCUUUCAUUUCAUUUGCCGAAACCAAGUUGAGCCGUUUUCUUAUUUGCGUGGAGGGAACCCAUUUAACGAUAAUUCAAACGGUGCCACAGCAAACACAGACUUGUAUGACUUGCCUACCCUCAUUCAAAGCUACGAAUGGGCAUCAAGUCAAACCCUUCGUUCUUUGGAAAACCACUCCCUUAUAACUAGCUCAAUUUCAUCUUCAAUUGCACUUCCUUGCUAACAAUUCCAAGCAAUGGAUUCCGGGGAGAAGCGGCUCAAUGAGUUGGGUUACAAGCAAGAACUCAGAAGGGAAAUGACUUUGUUCAAGACUCUGGCAAUAUCAUUUUCUACGAUGACCCUUUUCACUGGGAUUACUCCCCUUUACGGUUCAAGCCUUUUAUAUGCAGGUCCUGCAAGCCUUGUCUGGGGUUGGGUUGUUGUUUCAUUCUUCACCUGGUUUGUUGGCAUUGCAAUGGCUGAGAUCUGUUCCUCUUUUCCAACCACUGGCUCACUAUACUUCUGGGCAGCCCAUUUAGCAGGCCCCAAAUGGGGUCCAUUUGCAUCAUGGUGUUGUGCUUGGCUUGAGACUAUAGGACUCAUUGCUGGGAUUGGUACUCAGGCAUAUGCAGGGUCACAAACACUGCAGAGUAUAAUCUUACUAUGCACAGGCACAAAUAAAGAUGGUGGAUAUUUUGCUCCUAAAUGGCUCUUCUUGUGCAUGUACAUGGGCCUCACUGUUAUAUGGGCAGUUCUCAACACAUUUGCAUUAGAAGUGAUUGCUUUCAUUGAUGUAAUCUCUAUAUGGUGGCAGGUUAUUGGUGGUUUGGCUAUUGUUAUAAUGCUUCCCAUGGUGGCACUGACUACAAGAUCUGCUUCAUAUGUGUUUACCCAUUUUGAAAUGGCACCCGAGUCAACAGGAAUAUCAAGCAAACCUUAUGCAGUCAUUUUAUCUUUCCUUGUAAGUCAGUAUUCACUAUAUGGAUAUGAUGCAGCAGCUCAUCUAACGGAAGAAACAAAAGAUGCAGAUAAAAAUGGUCCUAUUGCAAUUCUUUCUAGCAUUGGCAUCAUUUCAAUAUUUGGAUGGGCCUAUAUCUUGGCACUUACUUUUAGCAUUCAGGAUUUUAGCUACCUCUAUGAUACAACCAAUGAGACUGCUGGAGCAUUUGUGCCUGCUCAAAUACUAUAUGAUGCAUUCCAUGGGAGGUACCAUAAUGCUGCUGGAGCAAUCAUUUUGCUAUUUGUCAUUUGGGGUUCAUUCUUCUUCGGAGGGCUUUCAAUCACCACCAGUGCAGCAAGAGUGGUGUAUGCUCUAUCAAGAGAUCGAGGAAUUCCUUUCUCAUCGAUAUGGAGACAAGUGCAUCCAAAGCACAAAGUUCCCUCAAAUGCAGUGUGGCUUUGUGCAGCCAUCUGCAUUCUGCUAGGACUACCAAUUUUGAAAGUCAAUGUAGUCUUCACUGCCAUAACUUCCAUAUGCACAAUUGGAUGGGUUGGUGGCUAUGCAGUUCCAAUUUUUGCUAGAAUGGUAAUGGCUGAGAAGAAUUUCAAAGCUGGGCCAUUUUAUUUGGGCAAAGCCAGAAGGCCAGUCUGCUUCAUUGCCUUUCUUUGGAUUUGUUAUACCUGUUCUGUCUUUCUUUUGCCAACUUAUUACCCAAUUUCCUGGGAUACUUUCAACUAUGCACCGGUGGCUUUGGGCGUUGGUUUGGGUUUGAUAAUGCUUUGGUGGGUGUUGGAUGCAAGGAAAUGGUUCAAGGGACCUGUUAGGAAUAUUGAGAUUCCAAAUGAAAAGGUUUAACUUUGAUUGCAAAUUCAAACACAUUAUUACUGGAACCUCCAAGUUCCAUCAGCUGAAUUUCGAAUAGUGCUGUAAUUUCCUUUUCUCUGUUAGUUAGAUGACUCUUAUACUUGAAUGAUUCCUCUUUUUAUUAUUGGUAUUAUUAUCUGGAUAUAUUUCCUGAGCAAAUGUAUGCUGAACUGCUUCUAAAACACUUAACUUGUAAAACAAUUCGAACUCUAUUCUCACAACAAUGUUAAGAUAGCUCAACACAAAAUUAAGGACAGCCAAAAUAAGCAGAGAGAUUAAAUAACACACUUGAAUAGACCAGGAGUAAUAAUCUGGGCCUUGCCCAUGGGCAGAAGAUAAUUCCUGUAAUACCCAGGCUUCACAUCGAGCAGCUGCCCCUUUUUCCCCAAAUCUGUCACAUCCUCUUUCAAUAAUAUCUUUCUGGUCUUUUUGGCUUUCUUUUGAGCCCAAAUCAGCAUGGGCAUUCUUCUGUCUGGCAACUUGGAGAUUUCACCGUAGUGUCUACCAAAGCUGUGAAGCCAAGAGGAAGAACUCCAUGAGAGAGUUGCUGCUGUAGAUGGUGACGCUAUUAUUACAAGUGGCAGUGAGUAAUUCCCACACACCCCAGAGACCGUCCUUCUCGACUUCACUGGCUUUAUCCGUCGGACGUUGGACGCUCGGGCCUUCGUGUUGAGUCGACACGAGAAUCGGCCUUUGCGAAUCUUGUCGUUUUGGCCUUCCAACUAAAUAAAUAAACAAAAUAUUCUUCCAACCAAAUUACAAUUUCAGAAUCAGAAAAAGUUUUGACUGAAACUCAGAUUAAAAUUCUUGUAAUCUGAAUCAUCUGCAUCAAC